CUAGCACUUGCCAGCGUGGGUUUAGAUCAAAUUAAACAGCUUCAGGAAUGAGUGUGACAGGAAGAUAUUCUUUGCUUUGUGCAAUCCAUGACUGGCUCCAAGGAAGAGGAGAUCUGUACAGCUAACAUUUGGUAAACCUCUGUAUUAAGUCUGUGUAGAUGUAGUCAGUAAAGCUAAAAGUUAGUCACUUUACUACUGAUUUGAUGCACUUUGAUUCAAGAAUCCCAUAUUAAUCAGAGAUAAAGCAUGCCGUGCUGUUGUUUUUAAAAUAUACUUAUUUUUAAAACUGAUCAAAAUACUUACUGUGGGUGACCAGACCAUCAUGUGUUCUGCACAAUAUCAUUCUUGAGCUGUGUAGGAAUAAACCAUAAGGCUGAGUGAAUUUUAACAUGGGAAAAUCAUUUUAGGCUCAAAGGAAGGGAGCUGUAAAUUUGCAACUGGUUCUUAAUAGUAAGAGGGAUCUGGUCAAACUCUGUCAGCUUUUAGGCAAGUCAUAGAGCUGAUAGUAUGGACGUGUCAAUAUCAAACUGCUAUUAGUAUCAUGUCAGUACCUAUCUGUCUCAGAAUUUAUAACUUGUUAACAACAGAGAAGUUAUGUGGUCUAAUGACCUGAGAACGGGACUAGGAGCCAAGAGGAAGUGAGGAAAGGAAGCUGACAGAAGAACAACUUCUCUGAACAGGAUGUCUGGUCCUACUGCAGCCCAAGUUUUUCUGUAUUUUCCUUUGGAUUUCAGUAAAUCUUGGAGGAUCAUUCUCCUGACUCAUUAGCUGCAAGCCCUCUGAAUGGUCCUGCUUUCUUCGAACAAGACAAAGCAAGGAAAUGGGCAAUCAUCCCUGCCUUUCAGUGCAGGGUGUCCUCUGUCUUCUUGACAGAGAUAACUCCUCAGAACUACCAGAAGGCACAUUGCCAAGUUAUCCUGACGCACAUAACAGAUGAACAGCAGAGAAAAACCUCAACCACAGGAAGCAAAAUAAGGAGUGAGAGAACCACUGUAGCAGGCAAGUGUCUCUUCUAUUGUUCCUUUUAUUUGCGAAUUGAAAACUGAAGUCUUCGAUCUACUCUGAAAACCAUUGGUGUAGUAAUACUAAGAAACAAUCCCAGGCUUUUCACUGCACUGCUCUUUUACAAGGCAAACUUUGUAAGAGUUUUGCCUCUUUCUUUAACUUGCUCCCUGACCUUUUUCCCAUUGGGAAAUAUUGGGAAGCAGGUGAUGUUUGGAAACAGCAGUGCAAACUAAACCUCUUGGAGUCACCUCUGCCAUAAUGGAUCAAAACCCAUACUAAAGCCAUUUCCUUUAGCAUGCCUAGGGUCAAACUGAAUUGCUAUAAACAAACUGGUCUGCAUCCCAGAAGAAAUGUUUAUGCAAAAAAGUACUUUCCCUGUUGCCUUCCUCUCCUUCCCUUAGAAAGCUGCUAAAAGCAAAAGGCAAACAUAGCAAACAAGGAUUUUUUUUUUCCUCUCUCCCCAGUAAGUUUAAAGAGACAGGAGCUGGGACUUUGCACUUGCAGCUGUUUAUCUUUGGAAAAUACUGCAGUUGUUACAUAGCCUAAAUACAAGAGCACUACUGCUGCUGUUGCUGUUGGGUCCCCUCUCUGGCCUGAUAGUACUUCCUUCCUGGCCUCUCAUGGCUUCCUGUGCUGGCCUUAUCGCCACAAAAAGCUUGACACUGUACUGGCUGUGCCACUUGGAAUGCAUUUCAACUCCAUAAAUGGAAAUACUCUCACAUUUACGUUUGCAAACAACUAGCAUCUGUCGAUCACUCAAUAAUUUCCUACAGAUAGUUGUUUUUCUUUUGGACAUGUUUUUCAAAAUAGAGAAAAGAAGAAGGAAAAAAAAAUGAACAAGAGAAAGGAAAACUGUUUCUUCUAGGUUGACUUUUCUGUGGUCUGAGAAUGCAUUUCCUAGGAUGCUGAAAUCAACACUGCAAUAACUUUAACAGCCCUGUGUCAGUUUAGAUCAGUUGAGGAAUAUGUCUGCUUGUUCUGAUCACUUUAAAAGAAGAAUAUUAUGAUGGCUCUGUAAGUAUGAGAAAUGAGAAUGGCACAUCAGAACUCAGUGUAAUUGCAGCCCCACUGCUGCAAUUUUCCCCUUGCACCGCUGCUUUUCACUGAUUCCUUUAGGUCCUAACAAGUGCCAUCCUGGGGCUCUUAGACCUCAUAAGGCUGUAGGAUGUAAAAAAAAUGAUUCUCCUGACUUAAGCUGACGAGAUCAAACAGCACAGAUUUGAAUAAAUCUUUUGAAGUAAAACA
rnacentral:lncRNA from 1 species